rnacentral:rRNA from 1 species
UACGGGGGGGGCAAGCGUUGUUCGGAAUUACUGGGCGUAAAGGGCUCGUAGGCGGCCAACUAAGUCAGACGUGAAAUCCCCAGGCUUAACCUGGGAACUGCGUCUGAUACUGGAUGGCUUGAAUCCGGGAGAGGGAUGCAGAAUUCCAGGUGUAGCGGUGAAAUGCGUAGAUAUCCGGAGGAAUACCGGUGGCGAAGGCGGCAUCCUGGACCGGCAUUGACGCUGAGGAGCGAAAGCUAGGGGAGCAAACGGG